UGUUCUAUGGUGUAAUUGUUAGCACUCUAGACUCUGAAUCCAGCUAUCCAAGUUCAAAUCUCGGUGGAACCU